rnacentral:sRNA from 1 species
GUCAGGUGUGGUGGUGCACGCCUGUAGUCCCAGCUGCUUAGGAGGCUGAGGCAUGAGAAUCACUUGAACCCAGGAGAUGGAGGUUGCAGUGAGCCAAGUUCAUGCCACUGCACUCCAGCCUGGGUAACAGAGUGAGACUCUGUCUCUA